rnacentral:rRNA from 1 species
UACGUAGGGUGCAAGCGUUGUCCGGAAUUAUUGGGCGUAAAGAGCUUGUAGGCGGUUUGUCGCGUCUGCUGUGAAAUUUCGGGGCUCAACCCCGAACUUGCAGUGGGUACGGGCAGACUAGAGUGUGGUAGGGGAGACUGGAAUUCCUGGUGUAGCGGUGAAAUGCGCAGAUAUCAGGAGGACCACCGAUGGCGAAGGCAGGUCUCUGGGCCAUAACUGACGCUGAGAAGCGAAAGCAUGGGGAGCGAACAGG